UACGUAGGGAGCAAGCGUUGUUCGGAUUUACUGGGCGUAAAGGGCGCGUAGGCGGCAGAUCAAGUCAGCUGUGAAAUCUCCGAGCUUAACUCGGAACUGUCAGCUGAUACUGUUUUGCUAGAGUGCGGAAGGGGCAAUCGGAAUUCUUGGUGUAGCGGUGAAAUGCGUAGAUAUCAAGAGGAACACCUGAGGUGAAGACGGGUUGCUGGGCCGACACUGACGCUGAGUGCGCGAAAGCCAGGGGAGCAAACGGG
rnacentral:rRNA from 1 species